rnacentral:rRNA from 1 species
GACGAACGCUGGCGGCGUGCUUAACACAUGCCAGUCGAGCGGAGCGGCGGACGGGUGAGUAAUGCCUAGGAAUCUGCCUGGUAGUGGGGGAUAAAGUCCGGAAACGGGCGGUAAUACAGCAUACUAUCAGAUGAGCCUAGGUCGGAUUAGCUAGUUGGUGGGGUAAAGGCCUACCAAGGCGACGAUCCGGAACUGGUCGGAGAGGAUGAUCAGUCACAAUGGAACGUAGACACGGUCCAGACGACUACGGGAGGCAGCAGUGGGGAAUAUUGGAAAAGGGGCGAAAGCCUGAUGCAGCCAUGACGCGUGUGUGAAGAAGGUCUUCGGAUGGUAAAGCACUUGAAGUUGGGAGGCGUUACCAACAGAAUAAGCACCGGCUAACUUCGUGCCAGCAGCCGCGGUAAUUC